GGAGAUCUGUAUCUCAGGGGUAGGACAACUGCUUGGCAUGCAGAGGGUCCCAGAUACAAUCCCUGGGAUCUCCA